ACACCGCGCCGCAGCGCGGGUGCUCCCGUGAGGGGCUGCCGUUCCCCUCCGUGGGUCUGUGUGGAGCGGCGGCGAUACCUGCUUGCCCCCCGCCCCGGGACACACACACACACACACACGUAUCACCCACCCACCCGGCCCCACGCCGGGGUUUUGGACCGCUAGCACCCACCCGGGCCGCCUCCUCGGCGCCGUGUCUCCUCGUCCCUCAGCCGGGUUUCCCCCCCCCCAGCUCCGCGCUGUGGGGUAGGGAAGCGGUGGGGGCCGUGUGGAGGGCGGUGAGGGGGGGGUGGAUGUUGUUUUUUCAGUCAGCUGCAGCACUUGAGCUCCAAAGGGUUUGUAGUUUUAGGGCUUGGCGGUGUUUUGCUUUUCGCUGAUCCACGCUGCCGGGACCCCUCGGGUCGGGGUGAGGGCGGCAGGCAGGAGGCCAAAUCCUGCUUUCCCCUGCGGACACGAGUGGGGGGGCUUCCCUGGGAGGACGGACAGCCCCACAUCAGAAAGAGGAGCACCGAGUGCCGCAGCAGAACUUCCCAUCCCUGAGAACUAAAGCCCUCUGUGAAGGAGAACCCAAACACCGGUUCCAUGAAACAAAAUUUUAAGACCAAUUAAAAAUAAAUUAAAAAAAAAUUUACGCUUCCCACGCAUGCUUUCCCCACUGCCCCCAUCCUCCGCCCCAUCUCCCCUUCGCCCCGGCAGCGUCGGGCGCUGAUGCGAUGUUGGCGUAAUUUGGCAUAUUCAGGCUGCUAUUUUGUACCUGUCUGUUUAUUUGAGAGACAGCCUCAACCUUGUAAUGAACGCAUCUGAAUAUUUAUCUGCUUGCUCUGAAUGGUAUAUUUGUAUUUCAAAUGCUUAAUUGUUAUUUUUAUUUAGCUGCAAAUUGCUGUUUUUAUUUUGCUGGCAUACCUACUUGGAAACCGCUCUAGCAUGAGGUUAACACCGAGCUUUUCUCUAUUCCUGAUUAGUUUUUUUUAAUUAAUCCAAUGCUGAUAAGUGCGUAAGGACUCUGCAGCCCUAUUCUAGCUUGCCACGGUGAUCUAAGAUGUGAAGACAGUGGAAUCUACCCCAGAAGAAACUGGCUCAUGCGGAGGAAUUGGGAGAGGGCAAACCAGCCAGGACCACGGAGGAAACCUGGGCAGGACCCGGGGAGAUGGGAAACCCCAGCGACCAGGAGCAGCUCAGUUCUCCUGUGCCAAACCUGGAGGACCAGGUAAAACGCACCUGGGACCAGUUCCCAGCAGCGUGGCCGGCUGGUAUGUGACAACCUCAACACAAAGGCCAAAAAGACCUUCUCCCUGCCCAUUCCCAUCUAGCUGGGAGUGCAGCUCUCUCACCAAAGGACUUUAAAAAGCAUCUGGCCGAGAGCACCUACAGAGCAAGACUUGAGCCGUAAAGACCUGGCCUUGUGAAUAAAUCCUUCAUGACACAUUUGAUUGCCCAUGGGUAUCCUCUGGCUUCACACGAGGAUUGGACUGUAGAGUCAACUUGAACUUUUAAAGUCGUGUUGUUUUUUUAGGUAAAUGAACAAAGCAAUAAAAGAAGAAAAAAAAGGAAGAAAAAGGAGGGUGGACACAUUUCCUGAGCAUGGUUAGAGGAGGGUGGGUGGGGAGUGCACAAGGAAACCCCAACUGCCCCUUUUGCAAUGUACUGCUGAAGACUGACAGCGUGAUUUAGGGUCCUCGGACACAAGGCACACUGCUGGAUCCUUGUUAGGCUGUGCAGGAAGGGAGGAAAAUGAGGCAGUGUUUUGCACCAAACUGUAGCUGCAAACGAGAGACUGUGAGCAAACCGGACCCCCAGAACUGGGUCAUACUCAGGGUUGGCUGGACCUUAUCUCCAAGCCAAUAUCAGUAGGAAGGGCUAAAUAUUUCUGGGAAUCACCAAGAAGCUCAUAUCGGAGCUAAAAAUAAAGUUUUAUAUCAGUGUG